rnacentral:rRNA from 2 species
CUGCCCUUUGUACACACCGCCCGUCGCUACUACCGAUUGAAUGGCUCGGUGAGGCCUUCGGACUGGCCCAGGGAGGUCGGCAACGACCACCCAGGGCCGGAAAGUUGGUCAAACCCGGUCAUUUAGAGGAAGUAAAAGUCGUAACAAGGUCUCCGUAGGUGAACCUGCGGAGGGAUCAUUA